rnacentral:lncRNA from 1 species
UGGGUGCCACUCCACCAGCGUCACUCUUUGAGAUAACACUUGGCAUAGGCAAUGACAAAGAUUUUUACGAUGUCAGCAUCGUGGACGGCUAUAAUUUGCCAAUUGUUGCUGUGCCACGGGGAGUGCACGGCACGUGUAAUGCCACUGGCUGCUCUUCAGACAUAAACUUGGGUAAGAACUAAAGCUCUGUUUGAAAUAAAUUUACAAAAUUUAUAAUUCAACUAGAGUAGUACAAAUUUUAUUAUAGGAUCAUAAAUAUUGAGUUCAUAAAGAUUCGGAUUUACAAAUAAAUUCUAGGAAGCCUAUAAAUUUGUUUUAAAUGUAGAAUAAGGGCUAAAAUUAAACAAUGAUUCCAAUAGUAAGGAAAGGAUGGUACCUGAUCUGAAUCGGUGAAAAUUCUAUGAAAACAAUCAAACAUAGGUUGUCCAAGAGAGCUUCAGGUCGUUGGAGGAGAUGGUGAAAGACAAGGGGGAGUAGUUGCUUGUAAGAGUGCAUGUGAAGCAUUCGGGCUUGACCAGUACUGCUGCAGCGGCAACUUUGCUAACCCAACAACCUGCCGGCCUUCAUUUUAUUCCACCAUUUUCAAGCGAGCUUGUCCCAGGGCUUAUAGCUAUGCUUUUGAUGACGGCACCAGCACUUUCACAUGCAAGGCUUAUGAAUAUGCCAUUGUUUUCUGUCCUGCUACUAGCAAUGGGUAGGAUUCAACUCUUUUUAUGCUUUACCUGUUUCUUUCCUCUCCUCGUCCGUGCAUGAAAAAUACAUUAAGAAAUCUGUAUUUAAAAUGCAGAGCAAAAAGACCAGGUGGCGUACCUCCAAGCAUGCCCAUUCCAGGUCCUGACAACGAGAAGGUUGUGAAAAUGGCUUCCUCUUCCACUAUCCUCUUACCACUUCCAGUGUCAAUCCUUCUCA